GUGGUGUGCAACAGGAAGAAUUUCCUUGAAAAUUUUUUCCUCCAGCAAGUUCACUGGACAAGUGGGCAAGCAUUCUUGCAGAGCCUGCUGCAAAUAUUCCUCUUCGAACUUGUCGCGCAAAUUCUCCAAGGCAUUGAACAGAAUUAUUAGAAAGGAUAUUUUUAAUGUCGACGAGUAAUUUUCGGUGCAAUCUUCGAGGACCUCGUCGUUAUCCGAGAAGGAAUCAUCCAGCAAAGAUGUGAACGAACCCUCGUUCUCCAUCUCCUGCAAGUUCACAAAAUUUACGUCUGUUCAGAUAUUCCUGAAAGUUCACGUGUUCGCGACACGUGACAUGAUUUACGUACGAAUGUUUCUUACGAAACGAUCGAAAGACACGUCAGCGUCAAUCGACACGUUGCAUGUUUUUUGCUACAACGGACGUUUCAAAAGAAAAUCGCUCGAAACGAUGAGCACAAGUUUCGUUUGAAUUGUUAAACUAUUCCCCUGCUCGAAUAUAAAAAUGUCUCAUAAUAUUCAUGAUAAGUUUCAUUUCAAUUAUGAAGCUAUUCCCUUUUUUGAAUAUAAAAAUGUCUCAUAAUGUUCAUAGUAAUUUAUUCAUAAUAAUUUUCACUCCGUAAAUUGGCUACUAGUAACUAAUGAUGAAUUGUACGAGUCACUUGGGCCCAAUUUUAUGGGUAAAUUCAAUUUAUAAAUGAGAAAAAAAAAUGAGCUGUACUGUACGAUAGGAAAUGCUUCUCUUCCUAGAUACUCCUUCGGUCAGCAUACGUUAUUCGUUAUCAACGUCUAUUUAUAUGUCUACGUACCAGUUAUGUAAUUUCCGUGAAUGAAGAACGAAUGUACAUUUCGCCAAUGUAUUAUGCAGACCUAUUGCAAUAUUAUUCAUAGGAACCCUUUUGUUUAAAUGCACAUACAGAAUACAUUUGUUUAAUUGUAAGAUUUUUAAUGUACGCUAUACAUGUUUUUUUUAUGUUUCUCACGAUUCAUUAAUAACAUUGUACGUAUAUGUAAUAUUUAUUUACAUUCAUAUUUCUUUUUAUUUUACUAUUCUUAUAAUAAAUGUUAUUUCCUUUA